CAGUGGCGAACGGGUGAGUAACACGUGAGCAACCUACCCCUGACUCUGGGAUAAGCGCUGGAAACGGCGUCUAAUACUGGAUAUGUGACGUGACCGCAUGGUCUGCGUCUGGAAAGAAUUUCGGUUGGGGAUGGGCUCGCGGCCUAUCAGCUUGUUGGUGAGGUAAUGGCUCACCAAGGCGUCGACGGGUAGCCGGCCUGAGAGGGUGACCGGCCACACUGGGACUGAGACACGGCCCAGACUCCUACGGGAGGCAGCAGUGGGGAAUAUUGCACAAUGGGCGCAAGCCUGAUGCAGCAACGCCGCGUGAGGGAUGACGGCCUUCGGGUUGUAAACCUCUUUUAGCAGGGAAGAAGCGAAAGUGACGGUACCUGCAGAAAAAGCGCCGGCUAACUACGUGCCAGCAGCCGCGGUAAUACGUAGGGCGCAAGCGUUAUCCGGAAUUAUUGGGCGUAAAGAGCUCGUAGGCGGUUUGUCGCGUCUGCUGUGAAAUCCGGAGGCUCAACCUCCGGCCUGCAGUGGGUACGGGCAGACUAGAGUGCGGUAGGGGAGAUUGGAAUUCCUGGUGUAGCGGUGGAAUGCGCAGAUAUCAGGAGGAACACCGAUGGCGAAGGCAGAUCUCUGGGCCGUAACUGACGCUGAGGAGCGAAAGGGUGGGGAGCAAACAGGCUUAGAUACCCUGGUAGUCCACCCCGUAAACGUUGGGAACUAGUUGUGGCGUCCAUUCCACGGAUUCCGUGACGCAGCUAACGCAUUAAGUUCCCCGCNUGGGGAGUACGGCCGCAAGGCUAAAACUCAAAGGAUUUGACGGGGACCCGCACAAGCGGCGGAGCAUGCGGAUUAAUUCGAUGCAACGCGAAGAACCUUACCAAGGCUUGACAUAUNCNAGACCGGGCCAGAAAUGGUCAACUCUUUGGACACUCGUAAACNGGUGGUGCAUGGUUGUCGUCAGCUCGGGUCGUGAGAUG
rnacentral:rRNA from 1 species